rnacentral:lncRNA from 1 species
AAAUUAAUCGCAAAUACAUUAGAAAGAAUCGCCACUACAUUACUUUACAGUAAACAUGAACCUCCCUAAUAACGUUAGCAGUAUAGUAGCAUUUAAUCAAAAACUGAAUGACAAAACCUUUUAAGAUAUACAACAUUAAUAACUAUGUUAAAAGGUACUUUUUAGUCUGAAAAUAAAACUUAAGCCCUGCUUUUAAAUCUCC